UACAGAGGUCUCAAGCGUUGUUCGGAAUUACUGGGCGUAAAGGGCGCGUAGGCGGCCUCUUAAGUCGAACGUGAAAUCCCCGGGCUCAACCCGGGAACUGCGUCCGAUACUGGGAGGCUUGAAUCCGGGAGAGGGAUGUGGAAUCCAGGUGUAGCGGUGAAAUGCGUAGAUAUCUGGAGGAACACCGGUGGCGAAGGCGGCAUCCUGGACCGGUAUUGACGCUGAGGCGCGAAAGCCAGGGGGAGCAAACGGGG
rnacentral:rRNA from 1 species